AACAGUGAUGAAAACAGCUACAUAGGAAGUGCCGUCUGAUGCGAUACCUGACGAUGGGAUAAAAGCUUAUCUGAGA
rnacentral:snoRNA from 1 species